AGCACGAUGGGCCAUAUUUAAGAAUGGUGUAAGAAUGGUUUCUGGUCAACAACUAAACCCUAAAAACUUGAUAAACAGAGUCAACAACUAAACCCUAAGCACUUGAUACACAUAGCUUCUGCACACACAACUAAACAGCAAUGAAAUUAAGUUAGUGUGUGUGUGUGUGUGUGUGUGUGUG